rnacentral:misc_RNA from 1 species
CUCCAUUUGCUGACACUUUUUUGAAGCCGCCGUGUAUCCUGGUUCAUACUUCUGCAGGCAUAUUUCACAAGUCGUGUUUCCCUUCUCGUUACACCAUCUCUGUAUGCAAUCUCUGUGAGCAAACUUAACAGUUCCUGAACAAGCACAGGGAGCUUCCAAGCUCUUGCAGCUUUCAAAUUCUGCUUCGUGACAAAUUCUACAGUGAGAAACUGCACAACUCGACUGCAAAUCAUCCACGAACAAAACAACGUCUCCCAUUUUCUCCAAUGAUUUUUCUUUUCUUUCUUUCUUUUCUAUUUUUCCAAAGACACUCUCUGCUUUUU